CACGUAGGGUGCGGGCGUUGUCCGGAAUUAUUGGGCGUAAAGAGCUCGUAGGCGGUGUGUCGCGUCGGCCGUGAAAACCUGCAGCUUAACUGUGGGCUUGCGGUCGAUACGGGCAUCACUGGAGUUCGGCAGGGGAGACUGGAAUUCCUGGUGUAGCGGUGAAAUGCGCAGAUAUCAGGAGGAACACCGGUGGCGAAGGCGGUUCUCUGGGCAUGUCCUGACGCUGAGGAGCGAAAGUGUGGGGAGCGAACAGG
rnacentral:rRNA from 1 species